UUUUUUUUUUUUUCGGUCAAAUUUACUGAAAGCCAGAACUCCUUUGUCAAAAACUUAUUAUGAAUGGCUCCAAUUUAUGAAGAUCCAGCUUUCUUGAUGAUUUGUCAACAGAUGUUCUAGAAGAUCUUUAACAUAGCAGAAUCUGAUCUACUGAUGGCUUUGGAAAAAGGUUAUUACUGAACUAACCAAUAGAAGAUAGCUUCAUCCUUGAAAAGCACUCAUUCAUUAAUUGAUCUACAAAGUCAGAAAUUGAUGGCAGAUACAAUCUCCGUAUUAAUAACUAUAAUACGUUCCUGAUGGACUUCAGCAGACGGGCAAUGAGAUUAGUGUCCUGUGGUCACUUAAACACAUGAGUAAUUUUCAAGAACCAACAGGCGAAGAAGUGAAGACUAGGAUAAAAUAAUGGCUGCCUUAACAACAAAAGCAGUCUCUUCAUUAAGAAACCUAUGAAGAUUGAUAGAAGCUGCCAGAGAUGUUUUGAGCUAGUCAAAAGAUAAUAUAGCUUGUUUGAAUGAAAAAAAAAACCUGAAGAAAAUGUCUCGGUUUCUGAAGUGACAAGAAGAUGUAAAGAGAAGAGGAAUUCUCAACAAGAACUUCUAAAAUUUUUAAUGAGCUCUUCUGUUAGUGAUUUUCAUGCAUAUAAAAGGUAGACAACAACUCUGCACAGGAACAGAUGAAAAGUAAACCUGGAGCUGUAUGGAUGGACUAAUUGAUGUCACAGCUAUGUAGGCAGUUCAGAGCUCUCAUUAAGAGUGUAAUCACCCUAGAAUCUUAAUGGAGUUAGUAGAGAAAGAUACUUCAGAGGGUGGCCCAGAUGUUCAGUUCUCUGAAUUGGAUACACUCUGUUUUGCCCAUACCUCUCUUUCAGCCAUGAGUUUAGACUCAUCUACAUUCUAAGACUCAGUGACAGUGGUGAGAUCUCUGCUGGACAUUAUUUGCAAUGACUUAUAUUAUGUAUGAUGUACAAUAUUCCUCUUGAUCAAUGGAUAUGUUUCAUGUAUUGGCCAAGAAAUGGUGAGUUACUUAAUAUGGAAAGAGCUUAUCAUUCUCACUGAAGAUGUCAUUGUUCCAUACUAACCAUUUUCUGGUUGUGGCACGUAGGGUAAAAAUUUUUCCACAAGAGUGACUGAUUGAAGAUGCACAGCAAAUACUUAAUAUGACAUCCCAUCCCUUAUCAAUUCCAUUCAGUGUUUGAUUGAGACUCACAGAAAGUGGAUCAAACCACUAGAUUUCAUAUUGCAUUCUCUAUAUCUCUAGAAAACAUUUUUUCCAACAUUAAACAUAACUACUAUAUGAUCAAGAUACUUCCUUUUCAACUGCAGCUGGCAGAAGUCUGCUUCAAUGACAUGUCUAUGACAGACUUCUGCAAUUUAUUUAUUUCAAAAAUCUCAUUUUUAACUUGAUUUAAUAAAAUCCUUCAAGAUCAGCUACACUUCUGUUUUGAUUGCUAGUUUUAAGAAGUGAAACCAUAACAUUUUUUUCUUAAUGAAUUUUAUAAAAGUCAGUUUAGUUUGUUCGUGUGUGUUUUAGCAAAUAUUCUUUAGGUUAAAAUAGAUAACAAUUCACACAAUUAUCACUGAUUAUAAUACAAAUAUGUUAUUUUUCAGUAUACUUUAAUUUUUCAGUACUGUCUCUUUUUAAAAAAUGCAGAGAAUAUCUUGUAAGAAUGCUUCUGCUAGUUUUAUCUAAAUUAAGGUCUUGUGUUUGAAUGAUUCUUGUACUAAUCAAUACCAGGAAUAGUAGUGUAGAUGCAUGCUGUGAAGCUGUGAUUAACAUUGCACAAUGAAUACAUUUUCUUACCCACAACCAAAGCUGAGAAAAAUUUGCUUUUUAUUUUCAUUGUGCUUGUAAACACAGUGCUUAUGUUAGCGAAUAAUUUGAGUAAAAACAGAAAUGAAUUGCCCUAUCAGCAUAUCAUCCUACAGCCAAAUUUCCUACCAUUAUAAAACCAUUAUUACAUAGUCCACCUACAGUCCAAAAACACCUACACACAGAUGAAAAUGAAACUCCUGCUGAGUUAAUUCCCACAUAUCCUCUAUCUAUUCCUGAUGUUUAUGAAUGUCCAUGAUUUUAAAAAGGAAUCCUCUAUUUUUCUUCUUACUUUUACACAAGCUUUCCACAGUGCAGGUUCAACAAUAUGAUUAUUAGGCAAACAUCAUUCAGGAAAGGAGUCAAGAAGGAUGUGUUAGAGGUAGUCUCUCGCGUUGCUUCUGUAGCUUUUGGAUAGUUACAAAAUGUAAAUACAUAUACAAGGAUUUACACAUAUACACAUGAUUUAAUAUUAUUGACAUUUAGUCAGUUAUGAAAAUAGAACUGGAGAAAAGAUCUAGGUCUUUGAAAUUUUACUUAAUGACCUUACAAAUUAGCUAUAGCCACUCCCUGUCAGACCAAAGAGUUCUCUAGUUAUCUUCUUCUCUGUUUCCCACUUCCAAACUGCUGCAUAGGAGUAGACUUGCUGUAGUACGUGCCUCGUACACCUGCAGAAUUUUCCAAGUCUUUGCAUUGCUGUAGAGGCAAAUAGCACCAAAACAGAUCUGGAAUUUAUGUAGGAAUUUAAAGUUGUAGACAGUAAGGAUGCAGGACAAAUAAAUAUGUUCUAAUUGAAGGCCACAUUUUGCCCUGUGAUAAAUAUGUCUUAUGAUUUGUCUGAUAAUACAUUGUGUAUUAGUAUACCUGCAUACAAAACUUGGCCCCAAACAGUAUUUUUGAUAUGAGUCAUUACCAGGACAACUGGACAUGGCUCUGCUCAACAUUCAGUUCAUCUCUUUAACUCUAGGCCUAGAAGAAAAGAAAAGGAAAAAAGUUGUGUGCAUUAGUAAUGCUGACAUCAAAGCAAAUCAACUAGUAAUUAACUUUUCUGUAGUCUGCAGCAACCACUGUCCCACACUUUCACUGAAACCAGACCUUUCAUUGUCUGCAGAGCUCUCUUAAGUCUGUGAUGUGCCUGGUAAUCUCCAAUUCUUUUUAUUUUCGUUCUUUUUUUUCAAGAUGGUAACAAAUUUGAGUUGGGCAUCUUGAUCACAAAGCUACACUCAAAUUUUUGUUCCAAAAUAUGGAACAUGGUAUUUGAUCAUCUGAAAGAAGGCAUCAUCCAAAUGCUGGACUAUUGCAAAGUACUCCUCUUUAUGCUUAUUUCCAGAUGUAAAUCACUGGGUGGCAACUGUCACCAAGAAAUUGAAGGAACAGCCUGUUAUCUUUCAUUUUACUGCACCUGGCUGUCUUUGUGAUUGUGAUGGUAUCACAGAGUUUUGGGGAGCUUGUUAAUCACCCUGUAACACAAGGCUGUCUGCUUCUCAGUAUUCAAAAUCAUAAAAGAGUAAACAGAAGGAAAUAUUAGACAGCUGUGCUCCCUGGCCAAUUUAUCUCACAGACACACUACAGUAAAUCAUAAAUAACUUUGCAAACCUCUGUAAUGCUAUUCCAGAUUUAUGUUAGCAGAACUAGAAGCAGAAUCUAGCUCCUUUAGUCCCAUGCUAUCAUUUUACAUAAUCAGAUACUAAAAUAGUGACUUAGGGCAGGAGUUUUAGCUGUUGUCAAAGUACAUUUAUUUUGGCAAUCAUUUUGACAGCCAGAAGUAAAAUACAGUGAGUAGCAAGAAUAUACUAACUACAUUUCAAUUCUUUGCUGACUGAGUGUAAGAUAUUCAUGAAUGUUGCUUAUGCAUUCAGCACACAAUGUAGGCACUGGCCUCCAUGGCCGUAACUACCACAGUGGCUAUGCAUUUUCAGGACGUAGCAUGGCUUCUGAAUCACAUAUAGGAAGGUUACUCUAAAAAAAAAUCCCAAUAAAAAAGUAUUCCUCUCAUCAAUUCUUUUCUCUGACAUAAGUUGUUCUUCUGACUUUUCCAGAGAGCCAAUACACAACACAGAUCUCUUCCAAUGAACAAAUAAGCCAUGAUCUCAAACAAUGGAAAUCUAGUAUUUGAGAAAAAUGACCACUGUUCUAACAUGGCAAAUUCCAGAGGAAAGCAAAACUUUUUACUGAAAUUGAAAAGCAAAAAUUUGAAACCAACUUCAGGAGAGCUUAUAGUAUCGUUGGAAAUAAAAUAAAAUAAAAACGCUAGGUUUUUCUUAGUUACUGCACUGCAACAGUAACCAGGUAACUGCAGUGCCUGAUUUAUUACACAAUGUAUUCAUAAAGAAGCAUUCUUUCUAAUGGUUAACAAUGGCAUAGAUGCACAAGAGACUGCAAUUCUUGAUUUGAGGGAGGGGGUGGAGGAGGGGAGGGGAGAGAAGAGG